GACGAACGCUGGCGGCGUGCUUAACACAUGCAAGUCGAACGAAGUGGCGAACGGGUGAGUAACGCGUAAUCAACCUGCCAUUCAGAGGGGGACAACAGUUGGAAACGACUGCUAAUACCGCAUACUGAAGGAGGGGAUUGCGUCUGAUUAGCUAGUUGGGGGGGUAACGGCCCACCAAGGCGAUGUACAGUAGCCUGGCUGAGAGGAUGAACGGCCACAUUGGGACUGAGACACGGCCCAAACUCCUACGGGGGGCAGCAGUGGGGAAUCUUCCGAAAUGGACGGAAGUCUGACGGAGCAACGCCGCGUGAGGGAUGACGGCCUGCGGGUUGUAAAGCUCUGUUAAUCGGGACGCGGUACCGGAAUAGAAAGCCACGGCUAACUACGUGCCAGCCGCCGCGGUAAUUC
rnacentral:rRNA from 1 species